rnacentral:rRNA from 1 species
GACGAACGCUGGCGGCGUGCUUAACACAUGCAAGUCGAACGGAAAGGCCCUGCUUUUGUGGGGUGCUCGAGUGGCGAACGGGUGAGUAACACGUGAGUAACCUGCCCUUGACUUUGGGAUAACUUCAGGAAACUGGGGCUAAUACCGGAUAGGAGCUCCUGCUGCAUGGUGGGGGUUGGAAAGUUUCGGCGGUUGGGGAUGGACUAGCGGCUUAUCAGCUUGUUGGUGGGGUAGGGGCUGACCAAGGCUUGGACGGGUAGCCGGCCUGAGAGGGUGACCGGCCACAUUGGGACUGAGAUACGGCGCAGACGCCUACGGGAGGCAGCGGGGGGGAAUAUUGCACAAUGGGCGGAAGCCUGAUGCAGCAACGCCGCGUGCGGGAUGACGGCCUUCGGGUUGUAAACCGCUUUCGCCGGUGACGAAGCGUGAGUGACGGUAAUGGGUAAAGAAGCACCGGCUAACUACGUG